rnacentral:rRNA from 1 species
GAUCCUGGCUCAGGAUGAACGCUGGCGGCGUGCUUAACACAUGCAAGUCGAACGAUUGAAGCUGGAGCUUGCUCCGGCCGAUUUAGUGGCGGACGGGUGAGUAACGCGUGGGUAACCUGCCUCAUACAGGGGGAUAGCAGUUGGAAACGACUGGUAAAACCGCAUAAGCGCACGGUGUCGCAUGACACAGUGUGAAAACACUCCGGUGGUAUGAGAUGGACCCGCGUCUGAUUAG